CCUACGGGUGGCAGCAGUGAGGAAUAUUGGUCAAUGGUCGCAAGUCUGAACCAGCCAUGCCGCGUGAGGGAAGACGGUACUGAGUGUUGUAAACUUCUUUUGUCAGAGGACAAACGCAGGUACGCGUCCCCGUCUGAAAGUACCGUAAGAAUAAGCAUCGGCUAACUCCGUGCCAGCAGCCGCGGUAAUACGGAGGAUUCAAGCGUUAUCCGGAUUUAUUGGGUUUAAAGGGUGCGCAGGCGGUCGGUUAAGUUAGAGGUCAAAUCCCGAGGCUCAACCUCGGCAUUGCCUUUGAAACUGUUCGGCUAGAGUGUAGUUGCGGUAUGCGGAAUGUGUGGUGUAGCGGUGAAAUGCAUAGAGAUCGUACAGAACACCGAGUGCGAAGGCAGCAUGCCGGGCUACUUCUGACGUUGAGGCACGAAAGCGUGGGGAUCGAACAGGAUUAGAUACCCGAGUAGUC
rnacentral:rRNA from 1 species